CCUACGGGUGGCAGCAGUGAGGAAUAUUGGUCAAUGGACGCAAGUCUGAACCAGCCAUGCCGCGUGAAGGAAGAAGGCUUUCGGGUUGUAAACUUCUUUUCUCAGGGACGAAGAAAGUGACGGUACCUGAGGAAUAAGCCACGGCUAACUACGUGCCAGCAGCCGCGGUAAUACGUAGGUGGCAAGCGUUAUCCGGAUUUACUGGGUGUAAAGGGCGUGUAGGCGGGACUGCAAGUCAGAUGUGAAAACCACGGGCUCAACCUGUGGCCUGCAUUUGAAACUGUAGUUCUUGAGUACUGGAGAGGCAGACGGAAUUCCUAGUGUAGCGGUGAAAUGCGUAGAUAUUAGGAGGAACACCAGUGGCGAAGGCGGUCUGCUGGACAGCAACUGACGCUGAGGCGCGAAAGCGUGGGGAGCAAACAGGAUUAGAUACCCUGGUAGUC
rnacentral:rRNA from 1 species